GAUGAACGCUGGCGGCGUGCCUAAUACAUGCAAGUCGAGCGAACGGACGAGAAGCUUGCUUCUCUGAUGUUAGCGGCGGACGGGUGAGUAACACGUGGAUAACCUACCUAUAAGACUGGGAUAACUUCGGGAAACCGGAGCUAAUACCGGAUGAUAUUUUGAACCGCAUGGUUCAAAAAUGAAAGACGGUCUUGCUGUCACUUAUAGAUGGAUCCGCGCUGCAUUAGCUAGUUGGUAAGGUAACGGCUUACCAAGGCAACGAUGCAUAGCCGACCUGAGAGGGUGAUCGGCCACACUGGAACUGAGAAACGGUCCAGACUCCUACGGGAGGCAGCAGUAGGGAAUCUUCCGCAAUGGGCGAAAGCCUGACGGAGCAACGCCGCGUGAGUGAUGAAGGUCUUCGGAUCGUAAAACUCUGUUAUUAGGGAAGAACAUAUGUGUAAGUAACUGUGCACAUCUUGACGGUACCUAAUCAGAAAGCCACGGCUAACUACGUG
rnacentral:rRNA from 1 species